UUCCCAAAUUUUUGUUGUGCUUAUUUUUUAAUAACACUUCAUGUAAAUCUUACCAUGGGCGAAAGUCAAUUGAGUUUCACAAAUCACACACAAAUAAAACUAAUGUUCACAAAUGUAUUUGGCUUUAAAUAAUGAUCACAUUAAUCACAUUUAAAAAAUUAAAAACAAUGAAAUCGCAAAAGUGAAAAAAAA